GAUGCAGCCAUGCCGCGUGUGUGAAGAAGGCCUUCGGGUUGUAAAGCACUUUCAGUUGUGAGGAAAAGUUAGUAGUUAAUACCUGCUAGCCGUGACGUUAACAACAGAAGAAGCACCGGCUAACUCCGUGCCAGCAGCCGCGGUAAUACGGAGGGUGCGAGCGUUAAUCGGAAUUACUGGGCGUAAAGCGCACGCAGGCGGUUUGUUAAGCUAGAUGUGAAAGCCCCGGGCUCAACCUGGGAUGGUCAUUUAGAACUGGCAGACUAGAGUCUUGGAGAGGGGAGUGGAAUUCCAGGUGUAGCGGUGAAAUGCGUAGAUAUCUGGAGGAACAUCAGUGGCGAAGGCGACUCCCUGGCCAAAGACUGACGCUCAUGUGCGAAAGUGUGGGUAGCGAACAGGAUUAGAUACCCUGGUAGUCCACACCGUAAACGCUGUCUACUAGCUGUGUGUGCCUUUAAGGCGUGCGUAGCGAAGCUAACGCGCUAAGUAGACCGCCNGGGGAGUACGGCCGCAAGGUUAAAACUCAA
rnacentral:rRNA from 1 species